CCUACGGGAGGCAGCAGUGGGGAAUUUUGGACAAUGGGGGCAACCCUGAUCCAGCAAUGCCGCGUGAGUGAAGAAGGCCUUCGGGUUGUAAAGCUCUUUUGUCAGGGAAGAAACAGCAGCUCUAACACAGACUGCGAAUGACGGUACCUGAAGAAUAAGCACCGGCUAACUACGUGCCAGCAGCCGCGGUAAUACGUAGGGUGCGAGCGUUAAUCGGAAUUACUGGGCGUAAAGCGUGCGCAGGCGGUUAUACAAGACAGGCGUGAAAUCCCCGGGCUUAACCUGGGAAUGGCGUCUGUGACUGUAUAGCUAGAGUGUGUCAGAGGGGGGUGGAAUUCCACGUGUAGCAGUGAAAUGCGUAGAUAUGUGGAGGAACACCAAUGGCGAAGGCAGCCCCCUGGGAUAACACUGACGCUCAUGCACGAAAGCGUGGGGAGCAAACAUGAUUAGAUACCCUGGUAGUCCACGCCCUAAACGAUGCUGACUAGUUGUUGGGAAUUUACAUUCUCAGUAACGUAGCUAACGCGUGAAGUCAGCCGCCUGGGGAGUACGGUCGCAAGNUUAAAACUCAAAGAUAGUAGCGUGAGAGAGCGACGGACGACGACGAGGAGGGAGGAG
rnacentral:rRNA from 1 species